rnacentral:piRNA from 1 species
UGAACAAUGGGGUAAGUUUCUCUUCCCACC